AACUAUUUAAAAGGCCACGCCGAAGCUCACGUUCCUGUGCUCUGUGCUGGGAUGUUGUCUCGGAGGGAGCCCUCGGGUAAGGUGGAAUGGUUCCGCCCUUCAGGGGUGACCAGGACAAGCCGCUAAGCCUAACCUAACUCCAGCAGGGGAUGGGGCAGAUCGGAAGUUACCUUACCCCCUGCUUAGCUCUCGAAUCAAGGACGUACCACGUGACAUAAAAAGUACAACCGUCGAGGCCGGGCGCGGUGGCUCACGCCUGUGAUCCCAGAACUUUGGAAGGCCGAGGUCGGUGGAUCACGAGGAUGGAGGAGACACUAGAACCUAUCGCUCUCUUUUCCUGCUGUGAACUCCAAUUGCAUCACCUCUCCUUGAAGCCCUCCCAGAUGCCCGCCCUCAUGUCAGGGUUUUAUAGCCUCGGAUUCGUUCGGUGACCUACAGCAAGAAACACGUUUUAUGUUGUGAGAUAAAUGAUACAAAAGUUUCAUGGACAAUACUUACCCUGGCUAUGUGUGCACACUCAUAUUUUCUAUUGCACGUGUUGUGUUCUAUUUGAUGGUUUUAAGGUGCCAGCCAUGACCUUCUAAAUUGAAUUCACAAACCACCACCGGAUUGUGACCCAGUGUUAAAACAAUGCUACUUUCACUCCUGGAUGCAGUAGAUGGCUUCAUGUGUGUCUCAGGGCUCUGGCUGUCCCCGAAAGAUGCAGAGGAGAUGGUCCUCAAGCAUUUCUUGCUCUGAGGUCAAAUAAAAGUUUGUAUAUAACAAAUAGAACCUGUUCCAAGGCCAGAGGCACAGGGGUGCAAAUAGAACCCAGCAAGGAGGGGUAAAUGAGGGAGGAGGGGCAGUUCCCAAGAGGCCUGGUGAGGACCCCUGUGCUUCCAGAGACUACAAAAGCAGUGGAGGCGCUACUGGAGCCUGGAACC